GACGAACUGCCCAAACGUUGUUCGGAAUCACUGGGCUUAAAGGGCGCGUAGGCGGCAGAUCAAGUCAGGGGUGAAAUCCGGCAGCUCAACUGUCGAAGUGCCUUUGAUACUGAUUUGCUCGAGGGACAUAGGGGUCUGUGGAACUUCUGGUGGAGCGGUGAAAUGCGUUGAUAUCAGAAGGAACGCCGGUGGCGAAAGCGACGGACUGGAUAUCUUCUGACGCUGAGGCGCGAAAGCUAGGGGAGCAAACGGG
rnacentral:rRNA from 1 species